rnacentral:precursor_RNA from 10 species
UGUAAAGUGCCGUAACUGGUUUUCGAUGCUGCCUUGUUACCUACGGUACCAGGUAGAAAGUAUGUCAUCUCGUACCGUGAGUAAUAAAGCAUUCUCGGGAGCUCAAUGCAACCGGUACUAUA